CCUACGGGUGGCAGCAGUGAGGAAUAUUGGUCAAUGGACGAGAGUCUGAACCAGCCAAGUAGCGUGAAGGAUGACUGCCCUAUGGGUUGUAAACUUCUUUUAUAUGGGAAUAAAAUGUUCCACGUGUGGGAUUUUGUAUGUACCAUAUGAAUAAGGAUCGGCUAACUCCGUGCCAGCAGCCGCGGUAAUACGGAGGAUCCGAGCGUUAUCCGGAUUUAUUGGGUUUAAAGGGAGAGUAGGUGGAUUGUUAAGUCAGUUGUGAAAGUUUGCGGCUCAACCGUAAAAUUGCAGUUGAAACUGGCAGUCUUGAGUACAGUAGAGGUGGGCGGAAUUCGUGGUGUAGCGGUGAAAUGCUUAGAUAUCACGAAGAACUCCGAUUGCGAAGGCAGUUCACUGAACUGCAACUGACACUGAGGCUCGAAAGUGUGGGUAUCAAACAGGAUUAGAUACCCUAGUAGUC
rnacentral:rRNA from 1 species